AGCUAAUUUUCAUUCAUAAUUUUAAUUUUGAAAAUGUUCAUUCCGACUGAAAAUCAGCUAUUCGUUAACGCUCCCCUAAACUACCCACAAUCCAAUCGACGAAAAAAACAUCGACCUAACAUAUACCGUAACGCUCUUUGUUGGUCGAAAAUAAGGAACAAUUUAUGAAACGAAACGGCAUCACUGGUGAUUGAUUUUUUUUUCUCCGCUAAACUGUCAUCUCACACCAAAACAACUAGAUCAUACAACUAUUAUGAAUCGAUCGGUGAGUGAGGAAACAUGAUUCCCCCCAUCACAAUUCCGCAGCUGGUGCCAGCACCGAGAAAGGGAAAUGGUGCUAAAGUCCAGUCGAAUGUGAACCAUAAUCGAUACCUGAGAGGAUAAAACUCGGGAGAUGUUUUUUCGAAAGUACGGCGGAUAAUGAUCCGAUCAAAUAUCGUAAAAUUCACAGGACGCAACAAACCGCUGAAGUGCCCAUCAAUUAGUUGUCAUAAGCCCGGAGAGCAGCAACAGCAGCGGCAGGACCUGGCCGUCGAUGAUAUCUCGAAAACUUUACCCAUCGGAGGUCCCGCGCCUUACGCAAAUCGAGAAUCCUCAGCCACACAUAUGUAUCAAGGAGAAAACUAUCAACGGCAAGGAGACAUUCAUCAACAUUCUCUGCUGAU